GACAGAGGAGGCAAGCGUUGUCCGGACUUACUGGGCGUAAAGCGUCCGCAGGUGGUCGUGCAAGUGCGGUGUGAAAGCGCUCGGCUUAACUGAGCGAGGCCAUAGCAGACUGCUCGACUCGAGACCGGGAGAGGUCGGUGGAAUUGCCGGUGUAGUGGUGAAAUGCGUAGAGAUCCGGAAGAACACCGGUGGCGAAGGCGGCCUGCUGGGGUGGAGCUGACGCUGAGGCGCGACAGCGUGGGGAGCAAACAGG
rnacentral:rRNA from 1 species